AGCCCAUUCACUCCGAGUCCUCUCUAGAUGGUGUACACGAUACGAUUCGUCUGCUCCUCUGUCUUCCCAGCGGCUGCCGGCGUCCUGGAGCUCCGGCGUGUCCUAGCACCCACCCACCAGCUGUUCAACGGAAUGCCCAAGAAGGAUGGCGCGAGCGGUAAUGAUCACAGACGACCUCCUCCGGCAUGUACUGUCAUUUCUGCAGACCUGCGUGCUCGAAACCCGGUGGCGUGACCAUUGGAGGCGCACCGCCAACCUGGACUUCCACGUUGACGAGAUGUCUCGGUUCCCUAGAAGGGGGCGUUUCGAGCAGUUGGCGAAGCUCAUCGUCCACCUCCGAGGGAACUCACCUCUUCAAAAGUGUGAGAUCGAUGCCACUUUUGACAAUGAGAUGGGGAUCACAUACACGAACACCAUGCUGCUGAUCGAGUAUGCUCUGAACUGCCAUGUGAAGGAGCUCCAAGUCAGUGCUGGUUAUGACGUGGAGGACCCACGAAGACUUGAUGUGCCUCUCAUCUCCAGCACUUAAAGACCAUGCACCUUGAACGAGUUAACCUAGAAUGCUCUGCUCUGAAUUACUCGCGCUGCCCAGUGUUAGAGGAUCUAAAUAUGCAACGUUGCAGAAUUGAUGCACGCAGGAUGUCAUCCAAAUCACUAAAGCGCCUGUGCAUUACCGACCUUUGUUCCUUCCCUCCGGAUAUUCGCCCCAGGUCUUAUCUCCCGGCAACUUGAUGGUUAUAGUGGCUUGACCCCUUCCCUUGAAUACAUGCCAUCUCUAGUAACAGCUUAUGUUGGGCUUGGCGCUAAAUGUGAUGAUUACUGUCAAUGUAUCGGUCUGCAUUUUGUGGAUGAUGAGUGCAGUUGUCAUGCUUAUCCUGUUGACGAGGGGGAGCUGCUCCAUGGUUUGCCCAAUACUGCGAAUUUGGAGUUGAUAGCUGGUUACAAAAUUGAAAUGUUUAUCUACAGAUGAGAUCUAAAAUGGCACCCUGUAUUUGGCAACUUAAAGACACUGCUCCUCAAUGAGUGGUCACGGCUACUGACCUAGUGUGCAUUCUCCAACACUCUCCAAUUCUUGAGAUGUUCACUCUGCAGCUGGGUAACACUGAGGCAUAUCAUGUAUAUAUAAUGAUGGUUCUGUAUUAUUAAAUGUUUUUUCAUGUACAUUAUUCUAUUAUAUCUUACUUUUUUUGAAGCACGAUAUUACUUAUUCUUUUAUAUCUUACUUAAUGUGAUGUAUCAUAUAGAAAUUCGUGAGCGCAAUAGGAGCCGAAAAAACAAAGGACAAUCAUUUGUGUGCAAGCUGUGCACACUGAAUUUAUAAAUGUUUGACGAGUGAAUUUGCAAAAUUGCAAUAUCCUCAGUACUUCAUGACCACAUUAUCAUCAUUGACCCAUGUUCUGGAUCAGACGGUAAGUUCUUUUGUCAUUCUUCAUUAUUUGUAUGUUUCUGCAAUCUUACUGCUUCAUCUAUCAUGUCUGCUGUGA